rnacentral:lncRNA from 1 species
UGGGAGGGAAUUUCUGUUAGAGACAGAUCACCAGCCUCUAGUGUGGAUGACCAAGGCUAAGUUGGCAAACGGGCGAGUUAUGAGGUGGGCCUUAGCUUUGCAGCCGUACAGAUUCUGUAUCAGAGCGGUGAAGGGUGUGGAGAAUGUCGGGGCCGAUCUCAUGAGCCGGUGUCCACCGUGAGUUUAUUUUCCUGUAUUCAAAACUCCAAUGUGAUCUGUCCUAGUGUAUAUAAUUAUUUUGCAAAUAAUUAUCAAGGAUGGGAGGUGUGUCAAGAUCACAUGUGGUUGAGCUGUAUAUACGUUGGAUGUUUCUUAUAGUGUGGUUGAACUGUAUGUGUCGGUUGAGUGAGUGUACGUGCAGUUGGGCUGUGUGCGAAGUGAUAUUGCACGUGAAAAGCAGGCAGUUUCUGCGACUUAGUCAUAAAAGUGGACGGUUUGAUGUGACGGGUGCAAUCGUGAUAUGAUAGAGCGGAGCGACGGUGUGAAAGCUGAGCCAGGAAAAUUAUCAUGGCUGUCGGGGCCGUAUUGGCUUGACGGCCUGUGUGCUGGCUAGUUGAGUGUGGCGGGUCAACACC